AGUAUAUAUAAUAACUAAAAUAAGUUAAAUUGUCUAUAAUUUUCAAGUAAUUUAAUCAAUAAUGGAUACUUAACAUAUUUUGAAGAUUUUUGAGUACUCAUAUACAAAAUCAUUUUCAUUUUUGUUUUAUAGGCUGUCCCGUUUUGUUUUGGAAAUGCCCUUAUAUAAAUUGCUUAUAGUUUUAAGACUCAGUUGUCCAAAAGUAUCAAGACUCAGUUGUCCAGAAUGUAUACAUUCAGUGUUGUACUCUAUCACAAAGAAAAUAAAUUAACUUCUUAAGACCGUAUGUCCCAUUUCUGAGUUUCACUAUGUGUUUAGAAAUGAAAACAAAGAUUUGGCAUAUGCUUCGCCAGUGUUAAGCUGACCUGAUUGGGACUUAGACUUAUCAAAUCUAAAUGUGAGGUUACUUUUAAAUCUAACAAUCCUAAAAUCUUGCUUAGUUUUCUCUCUUUGUUAUAUUAAUAGGGAACAACAUAUAAGAAACUAACCUUAUAGCUAUGGCUUUUGUUGUAGAACAAAUUCUUCUGGAUCAAAAUUCUCAAACUCCUCCUCCAAGCCCUUUCUCAGUGCAAGCUUUUAAUAAAGGGGCAAGUUGCAGUGCCCAGGGAUUUGAUUAUGGACUUGGGAAUAAUAAAGGUGACCGAGGAAAUAUCUCAACAUCUUCUAGACCAGUCUCUACAUCAGGAAAAUCAGAACUGUCCUCUAAACAUAGCAGAUCACUUAAACCUGAUGGACGCAUGAGUCGCACUACUGCUGACCAAAAGAAGCCAAGGGGCACAGAAGGUUUAUCUGCAAGUGAAUCCCUCAUGUUAAAAUCUGAUGCUGCAAAGUUGAGGUCAGAUUCCCAUAGUAGGUCACUGUCCCCCAACCAUAACACCUUGCAGACUCUGAAGUCUGAUGGGAGGAUGUCAUCUAGCUUCAGAGCUGAGUCUCCAGGACCAGGUUCACGGUCAUCAUCUCCUAAGCCAAAGACUCUCCCACCAAGCAGAUCUAGCCCAUCUGGUGCUAGUUCACCACGCUCCUCCUCACCACAAGAUAAAAGUCUACCUCAGAAAAGCACUGCUCCUGUGAAGACAAAACUUGAUCCUCCACGGGAACGUUCUAAAUCAGACUCUUAUACUCUUGAUCCAGACACCCUCCGGAAGAAAAAAAUGCCACUCACAGAGCCUUUGAGGGGGCGAUCGACAUCACCAAAACCAAAGUCAGUGACAAAGGAUUCCAAAGACUCCCCUGGGUCUGAAAAUAGAGCACCUUCUCCCCAUGUGGUACAGGAAAACCUUCACAGUGAGGUGGUUGAAGUCUGCACAUCAAGUACUUUAAAAACAAAUAGUCUAACAGAUAGCACCUGUGAUGAAAGUAGUGAAUUUAAGAGCGUGGAUGAAGGUUCAAAUAAAGUUCAUUUCAGCAUAGGAAAAGCACCACUGAAAGAUGAACAGGAAAUGCGAGCAUCCCCCAAAAUAAGUCGAAAAUGUGCUAAUAGACACACCAGGCCCAAAAAAGAAAAAUCUAGUUUUGUUUUCAAAGGUGAUGGAUCCAAACCUUUAGAGCCAGCAAAGCAAGCCAUGUCUCCUUCAGUGGCUGAGUGUGCCAGAGCAGUCUUUGCCGCUUUCCUGUGGCAUGAAGGCAUAGUACAUGAUGCAAUGGCUUGUUCUUCUUUCCUAAAGUUUAAUCCUGAACUUUCUAAAGAACAUGCUCCUAUAAGGAGUAGUUUAAAUAGUCAACAACCCACAGAGGAAAAAGAAACCAAGUUAAAAAAUAGACAUUCAUUGGAAAUAUCAUCUGCACUGAAUAUGUUUAAUAUUGCGCCUCAUGGGCCAGAUAUAUCUAAGAUGGGUAGCAUCAACAAAAAUAAAGUGCUGUCUAUGCUUAAGGAACCACCUCUACAUGAAAAAUGUGAGGAUGGAAAAACUGACCUCGCCUUGCUAAUAACUUUAGAUUUUAACUUGGUUUAUUGUAGUUUAAAUAUUUUAUUACCUGAAUAUGUAUUGUUUUUGUAA
rnacentral:lncRNA from 1 species